UGGGGAAUUUUGGACAAUGGGCGAAAGCCUGAUCCAGCAAUGCCGCGUGUGUGAAGAAGGCCUUCGGGUUGUAAAGCACUUUUUGUCCGGAAAGAAAUCCUUGGCUCUAAUAUAGUCGGGGGAUGACGGUACCGGAAGAAUAAGCACCGGCUAACUACGUGCCAGCAGCCGCGGUAAUACGUAGGGUGCAAGCGUUAAUCGGAAUUACUGGGCGUAAAGCGUGCGCAGGCGGUUUGCUAAGACCGAUGUGAAAUCCCCGGGCUCAACCUGGGGAACUGCAUUGGUGACUGGCAGGCUAGAGUAUGGCAGAGGGGGGUAGAAUUCCACGUGUAGCAGUGAAAUGCGUAGAGAUGUGGAGGAAUACCGAUGGCGAAGGCAGCCCCCUGGGCCAAUACUGACGCUCAUGCACGAAAAGCGUGGGGGAGCAAAACAGGAUUAGAUACCCUGGUAGUCCACGCCCUAAACGAUGUCAACUAGUUGUUGGGGAUUCA
rnacentral:rRNA from 1 species